rnacentral:rRNA from 1 species
AGUGAACGCUGGCGGUAGGCCUAACACAUGCAAGUCGAACGGCAGCACAGUAAGAGCUUGCUCUUACGGGUGGCGAGUGGCGGACGGGUGAGGAAUACAUCGGAAUCUACUUUUUCGUGGGGGAUAACGUAGGGAAACUUACGCUAAUACCGCAUACGACCUACGGGUGAAAGCAGGGGAUCUUCGUACCUUGCGCGAUUGAAUGGGCCGAUGUCGGAUUAGCUAGUUGGCGGGGUAAAGGCCCACCAAGGCGACGAUCCGUAGCUGGUCUGAGAGGAUGAUAGGCCACACUGGAAGUGAGACACGGUCCAGACUCAUACGGGAGGCAGCAGUGGGGAAUAUUGGACAAUGGGCGCAAGCCUGAUCCAGCCAUACCGCGUGGGUGAAGAAGGCAUGCGGGUUGUAAAGCCCUUUUGUUGGGAAAGAAAAGAAGAAGGUUAAUACCCAGCUGUUCUGACGGUACCAAAAGAAUAAGCACCGGCUAACUUCGUG